rnacentral:lncRNA from 1 species
AAACAGCUUCUCACCUAUUUCCUAAGUCAGUCCACAGACACAGAGCCCCCCGACUGAAGGAGAAACUGGGUCCAUUUGUGGAAGGCUGCACCAUAUGGAAUUGACAUAAUGAUGAAGAGGAUAUGAUUUUUUUCGGCCCAUCUACCCUGAAAUGGCUCCAUCAUUCAUCUCUUUCUCCAUCCCACUUACUCAAGUGAUUCUUUCAACGAUAGUGCCCUGUCCCUAACCUCAGGGUUUAGAAACAUGGCCCCAAGACUAACAGAUUGCAGUAACUUAGUCCAAAGGAGGACAUAUGAGCCACACCAGGUCAGAGAAGUUCUGAGAGAUUUGGUGUUCAGAUGCUGAGAGUUGCUUUCUUUUCCCCUCAUUUGCAAGCUGAGAUGUCUGCAAUGAGUUGCCAAUAGCCUUUGUUUCCCCAGAACAAAGAAAUCAUAUUGUAGCCUGAGAAAAUGAAGCUGUUCUAGCCACUUCUAAGAUUGUUCCUACUGAACCUCACCUCUUGGUAUUCAUGCUGUCAUAUAGUCCCCUUCCAUAAUAAACAGGGCUAACAUAUGUAACCAAUAGCACACAUUGCAAAAAUGAUGGUGUGUGACUCCUCAGGCUAGUUCACAAGACUUCUGCCUUACACUGUUUGUCUUAGAUCAUCUCUGAGGGAAACCAGCUGCCAUGUUGUGAAGACACUCAAGCAAGCCAUGUGUGUGAACUACCAUGUUGAAAAUGGACCCUCCAAAUCCAAUCAAGCCUUCAAGAGAUUAUUGAUGUCAUGGCCAACAUCCUGACUACAACCUCAUGAAAAAACCUCAGCAAAUGCUUCCUAACCAAGCUUCUUCUGAACUCCAGACCUAUAGAAAAUGUGUGAGAUAAUUGUUCUUCAGCCCAGUCAAGACCCUAAGAAGAUGGGGGUGGAAUUCUGCCUCCUCUACACAAAUUCUUGCCACGACUUAGUGACACCUUUAAUGAACCGAGCACUGGGUUAAAGUUUUCUCUAAUUCUUAAAUAACUCUGCUAGGUAAGUUGCCAUUAUUAUGAUCAAACCAUACUGAAUGUUUGAGUACCUUGACUAAGAAAUAAAACUGGGUUUUUGACAAAGGUCUAUUUAAUACCAAUGGCCAAGUUCUUUCCACCAUGACUCCACGGUUCCUAGUUUCAUAUACUUACAUUAAUCUCAGAUAAGACAAGAGUAACCGUUUAUAACACUCUUCAUUCAAAGAAAAUUCUUAGUUAUCACAAAUUAAAUUUUAAUUGUUUGAAAAUUAAUAAUUCCUUCUUAUGAAUAGUUUAUAUCUCAACCACAUUGAGGAAGUACUUUAUUUGACACCUUCCUUCCAUAUUUCCCCUCCAGGCAGAAUAAACUCUUUCACAGUGUAGCCCUUAGUAAUUAAAAAUGGCUUUCUCUUCCUAAUGGAUUAUAAAAUAUUGAGGCAGUAAUUUGAGCUUAGUCAUUGUUUGUACACAUUUUUCUAUUACAAAGUGAUACAAUCAUACCAAUUUUGAAAUAGAUCAAAAAAAUUAAAAUCCUAACCUAUUUACUCACUUAUUUUCCCAAAACUUAUUAUAUAUGAUAUUAACGAAUAUUACAUAGGAUGCAUGAGAUCUAAGUACAAAUUAACUUGGAAAAAUAUGGGUUAAAUGAAUUUUAGCAGAAUUAUUUCCUGUAGAAUCUUUACUGUUUUGGUUUGUAUUGUAACUUCAAAAUUGAAGAUUAUGUGCAGUUUUUCUAAUCUAUUUGACCACUGAACUCUUUUAUCAUAAAGCUUCUGGAUUAGUGUUCCAUGAAACUUUAGGAAUGAGUUCAAUAUUCUAUUAUAUAUUGGGGCUCUUCUCACUUUUGUAAAUAAGUCCAGGAUAAAUAUCCUUAGGCAUUUACAUUGUGUUUCAUAUGUUUUGGGAAAUUCUAGGGUAAAUACCCAAAGCCUCAAAGAUAUUGUUUCAAAGAUUAUUAGCAACUUAAGUUUUUCAUCUAUAUUUUUAAAUGGCUUUCAAAAUGAUUAUAACCGCUUUUAGAAUACAAUCAAGUCAUGGGAAUGUCAGUUUUAUUGAACUAUUAUCAGCAUUAGGUAGUGCAUUUUUUCCUUAAUUUUGCUAGUGAAACAAGUGGAAAAUGAUAACUCAUAGCUAUGACAAUUUUUAUUUUUGAUUAGGAGGUAGAACACUUCUCUGUAUGUUUUAUUAGAAUUUCCUCUUUAUGCAACUUAUACUACCGAACUUUACACAUGCAUGAAUGGU